UACGGGGGGGGGCAAGCGUUGUUCGGAAUUACUGGGCGUAAAGGGCUCGUAGGCGGCCAACUAAGUCAAACGUGAAAUCCCUCGGCUUAACCGGGGAACUGCGUCUGAUACUGGAUGGCUUGAGUUUGGGAGAGGGAUGCGGAAUUCCAGGUGUAGCGGUGAAAUGCGUAGAUAUCUGGAGGAACACCGGUGGCGAAGGCGGCAUCCUGGGACCAACACUGACGCUGAGGAGCGAAAGCCAGGGGGAGCAAAACGGGG
rnacentral:rRNA from 1 species